rnacentral:rRNA from 1 species
AUUGAACGCUGGCGGCAGGCUUAACACAUGCAAGUCGAGCGGGGGAAGGUAGCUUGCUACUGGACCUAGCGGCGGACGGGUGAGUAAUGCUUAGGAAUCUGCCUAUUAGUGGGGGGCAACAUCUCGAAAGGGAUGCUAAUACCGCAUACGUCCUACGGGAGAAAGCAGGGGAUCUUCGGACCUUGCGCUAAUAGAUGAGCCUAAGUCGGAUUAGCUAGUUGGUGGGGUAAAGGCCUACCAAGGCGACGAUCUGUAGCGGGUCUGAGAGGAUGAUCCGCCACACUGGGACUGAGACACGGCCCAGACUCCUACGGGAGGCAGCAGUGGGGAGUAUUGGACAAUGGGGGAACCCUGAUCCAGCCAUGCCGCGUGUGUGAAGAAGGCCUUAUGGUUGUAGAGCACUUUAAGCGAGGAGGAGGCUACUCUAGUUAAUACCUAGGGAUAGUGGACGUUACUCGCAGAAUAAGCACCGGCUAACUCUGUGCCAGCCGCCGCUGUAA